UACGAAGGGGGCUAGCGUUGCUCGGAAUCACUGGGCGUAAAGGGUGCGUAGGCGGUCUGACAAGUCUGAUGUGAAAUCUAUGGGCUCAACCCAUAGUCUGCAUCGGAAACUGUCGGGCUUGAGUAUGGGAGAGGUGAGUGGAAUUUCCGGUGUAGCGGUGAAAUGCGUAGAUAUCGGAAGGAACACCUGUGGCGAAAAGCGGCUCACUGGACCAUAACUGACGCUGAUGGCACGAAAGCUGGGGGAGCAAACAGG
rnacentral:rRNA from 1 species